ACCGGGACUUGGGGAGCGAGGGAUGCAACAUGGUGCAUCUGGGAGGCCUGCUAACUGGCUAACUUCUCCGGCGUUCCUCCCGGCCGAGGCGUGGGCACAGAAUAGCGCAGUUUGAAGACAUCAUUUUCCAGUUUUGGAGCCGACUAAUGAACUAGUUCUUAAGUGAAAGGCAUUUAACACGACUGUGCAUCUACAGGUACUAGGUUUCCAAGAUGCCUUUCCAGACUAAAACCCACACAUGUGAGCCGCUGGCCGGACAAACAUCUGGCACCUAACGUGGGGCUGAAAAACAGCAGAGGACAUUUGGAAGAAACACUGCUGGUUUGGAGCUCCAUAGAAGAAGAAAAUAAUUAAAGGAAAUUCAUACCAGAGAAGAAUCCCUAAGUACUGUAGAAUACAGUUUGGAAACAUGAUCUUCACCCCAGUGUUUCUAGACCUUGCUGUCUAUGAAGCUCUCAAAUCCCACCUGAUAGUGUCUACUCAACAAUGAAGAGCUUCAUCAUCAUCGUCAUUGUUGUUCCACCUCCAAGGCUAGAAUUUUCUUCUUCCACCAUUGAAGGUCUCAAAUACCUGCUCGACACCCUCCUCUUAUGACAUAAAGCCUUCACUGUUACUAGUAUGUAGUUCAAGGUUUCAUUCCUCCACUGAGAUAAAGUACAAAUAAGCAUGUU
rnacentral:lncRNA from 1 species